CCUACGGGAGGCAGCAGUGGGGAAUAUUGCACAAUGGGCGCAAGCCUGAUGCAGCCAUGCCGCGUGUAUGAAGAAGGCCUUCGGGUUGUAAAGUACUUUCAGCGGGGAGGAAGGGAGUAAAGUUAAUACCUUUGCUCAUUGACGUUACCCGUAGAAGAAGCACCGGCUAACUCCGUGCCAGCAGCCGCGGUAAU
rnacentral:rRNA from 1 species